GCUAACUUUCCACGCUGUUGCGAAACACGUGGAAGUUCUGCUGAGACUAACGUGGUGAUCAAGUAGGCCGAAUAACUGUGAUUUUAAAAAACCGACUCUGAUAAUCAUAAGAUGAUUAUUGAUGAUAAUGUGACGUGAGAUGUCUUGCUAUAUUUAUAUGUGAAGCUGGAAAACUACAAAACCCUCAGUCUCCUACAUUGUUGCCUUUAAAAUACUUCUUGUGAGAUUGUUUUUAAUCAUAGGGUUCACAAUUUGUCAAAUCGUCUUUAAAAAGGUGCCCGUGAUCAUUCUUCUUAUUCAAAUUGGGCCAUAAAAAGUUGAGGCUGAUUUGGAUGCAGAGAAAGAAGAAUGAACGGGCUGAAUUCAGUCCAAGGACGAUGUGAUAAUCCUGAGAUCAAAGCGAGAGUGGGACAGCUGGGAGCAAUGUCAAAAAUUUGUGCCAUCUGGAUGAAGAUUUGCUGUUUCAGAUGAAGGUGUUCAUUGACUAGGUGGUCUUAAGAGCAGGUAACGAUGAAGAGACUGAACAUUUGAACCAGCUGGAUGAAGAUUUGCUGUUUUAUUUGGGUCUAACCAGCUGCAGGGAGCAAUGUAGAAUAUUUGAACGAACUGGAUGAAGAUUUGUGGUUUCAGAUGAAGUUUUUCAUUGACCAGCUGGGUUUGAGAGCAGUUCAUUUUCAACUCUACAAAGACGACAGCCGUCCUGCUGAUGAUCGGGUUUCUGUAACGGUGUCUCAACACAUUUUUAUUUAUUUUUUUUGAUAUAUUUCUGCUGCCUUCGAGCUGACAGAACAAACCAGAGUGAGGCCACUUCCAGUUGAUGGGACCCGUCAUUUAUUUUGUCAUGUUGGAUUUGCUGAAUAAACAGUAACUAAUUCUUGAAUGCUCAUGUUUGGUGUUGUAAUUCUACUGUAAAUUAUUUUUAUGUGGUUUUG
ensembl:lncRNA